rnacentral:rRNA from 1 species
ACCGCCCUAAGCGUCCUAAUUCGCGCUGAACUAGGCCAACCCGGCGCAUUACUCGGGGACGACCAAAUUUAUAAUGUUAUUGUUACUGCCCAUGCAUUUAUCAUAAUUUUUUUCAUGGUCAUACCCGUUAUAAUUGGGGGCUUUGGCAACUGACUUGUUCCAUUAAUAAUUGGUGCUCCAGACAUGGCCUUCCCCCGAAUAAAUAAUAUGAGCUUCUGACUACUCCCCCCCUCACUACUCCUUCUACUUGCAUCAUCUGGCGUCGAAGCUGGCGCAGGGACUGGUUGAACUGUAUACCCCCCCCUAGCCGCGAACCUAGCCCACGCAGGCGCAUCCGUAGACCUGGUUAUCUUUUCACUACAUUUAGCAGGCAUUUCAUCAAUUCUCGGGGCUAUCAACUUCAUCACCACCUGUAUUAACAUAAAAGCCCCCACCCUUUCACAGUACAACACCCCACUAUUUGUGUGAUCCGUAAUAAUUACCGCAGUACUACUACUACUUGCUCUGCCCGUUCUCGCCGCCGGCAUCACCAUGCUUUUAACCGACCGAAACCUUAAC